UACGUAGGUGGCAAGCGUUGUCCGGAUUUACUGGGCGUAAAGCGCGCGCAGGCGGCUGAUUAAGUCCGAUGUGAAAUCUCCCGGCUCAACCGGGAGCGGUCAUUGGAUACUGGUCGGCUUGAGGGAGGCAGAGGAGAGUGGAAUUCCGCGUGUAGCAGUGAAAUGCGUAGAUAUGCGGAGGAACACCGAUGGCGAAGGCAAUCCCCUGGACCUGUACUGACGCUCAUGCACGAAAGCGUGGGGAGCAAACAGG
rnacentral:rRNA from 1 species